rnacentral:rRNA from 1 species
CUCUCCGCUUUGGGAGUACGGUCGCAAGACUCAAACUCAAAGGCAUUGACGGGGGCCCGCACAAGCGGUGGAGCAUGUGGUUUAAUUCGAAGCUACGCGCAGAACCUUACCAGCCCUUGACAUGCCUCGGAAGUCGACGAGAGAUCGAUCACGCUCUUCGGAGCCGGGGACACAGGUGCUGCAUGGCUGUCGUCAGCUCGCGUCGUGAGAUGUUGGGUUAAGUCCCGCAACGAGCGCAACCCUCGCCCUUAGUUGCCAUCAUUCAGUUGGGCACUCUAGGGGGACUGCCGGUGAUAAGCCGGAGGAAGGUGGGGAUGACGUCAAGUCCUCAUGGCCCUUACGGGCUGGGCUACACACGUGCUACAAUGGCGGUGACAGUGGGCAGCAAGGCAGCAAUGCCAAGCUAAUCUCAAAAAGCCGUCUCAGUUCGGAUUGAGGUCUGCAACUCGACCUCAUGAAGUUGGAAUCGCUAGAAUCGCGGAUCAGACGCCGCGGUGAUACGUUCCCGGGCCUUGCACACACCGCCCGUNA